rnacentral:rRNA from 1 species
GACGAACGCUGGCGGCGUGCCUAAUACAUGCAAGUAGAACGCUGAAGAGAGGAGCUUGCUCUUCUUGGAUGAGUUGCGAACGGGUGAGUAACGCGUAGGUAACCUGCCUUGUAGCGGGGGAUAACUAUUGGAAACGAUAGCUAAUACCGCAUAACAAUGGAUGACACAUGUCAUUUAUUUGAAAGGGGCAAUUGCUCCACUACAAGAUGGACCUGCGUUGUAUUAGCUAGUAGGUGAGGUAACGGCUCACCUAGGCGACGAUACAUAGCCGACCUGAGAGGGUGAUCGGCCACACUGGGACUGAGACACGGCCCAGACUCCUACGGGAGGCAGCAGUAGGGAAUCUUCGGCAAUGGGGGCAACCCUGACCGAGCAACGCCGCGUGAGUGAAGAAGGUUUUCGGAUCGUAAAGCUCUGUUGUAAGUCAAGAACGAGUGUGAGAGUGGAAAGUUCACACUGUGACGGUAGCUUACCAGAAAGGGACGGCUAACUACGUA